rnacentral:rRNA from 1 species
UACGGAGGAGGCAAGCGUUAUCCGGAAUUAUUGGGCGUAAAGCGUCCGCAGGUGGCACUUCAAGUCUGUCGUCAAAGACUGGGGCUUAACCCUGGAAAGGCGGUGGAAACUGAAGCGCUAGAGUGCGGUAGGGGUAGAGGGAAUUCCCGGUGUAGCGGUGAAAUGCGUAGAGAUCGGGAAGAACACCGGUGGCGAAAGCGCUCUGCUGGGCCGCAACUGACACUCAGGGACGAAAGCUAGGGGAGCGAAUGGG